CAUGCCCAUAAUUUUGAGAAAUUGUUUUUCUUCUUUCCGAACUAACUUAAUGAGAAAAUUUCCUUCAAAAUUAAAAAGCCAUUGUUAUUCAAUCUUCUCUUGAAGCACAUACAUACAAAGAUCUCCAUUUUCAUCGUUGUCAUCGUCGCCACCGUUUACAUCUCAGAGGAAAAUAAUUGGAGACGGAAUUGAAGACGAAGAGUAAUGGUUAAUGAAGGAAUUGCAGGUCUUCAACAAAAUUGUUUUUACAUCGAGCCCUGAUUCAUUGAGCUAGUUCGAAUAAACUGCAGUCUGUAUCAUUUGCCGCAAUCAAAUUAAAUUCCUAUAAUUUGUUAUUGGGUUUCUGCUGCAAUUACCAGUUCUUGAGCAAUUGGGAAGAGAUAAAUCUUGGGUACGAUUCCAUUCAUGGGAUUUAGGGUUUACUAAGCGUGGAAUUAAUUUGAAAUCGAACAAUAAAGAAAAUUAGAUCAAGAUGAGAAUAUGCUGAGAUGUGUGGUUGUCCUGGUGUUGUUGAGUGGAUGUUGGCUGGUGACAGUGCAGCAGAGAUGGCGAAUGGUUGAGCUGAUAGUUGCAGUUGAAUUGGUGAAAUAAAAUUGAGCUGCACCCCGUCCAGUCACUCGAAAAUGUGUUGGACUGCAAUUGCGGUGCUCUGAUCUUUAAAGGAGAACUGGGAAAACUCACCACCAAAUUGGAACACAGAUGAUCCUUGUGGUGAUCAGUGGGAUGGCGUUGGCUGCACUGGUGCAAGGGUUACUUCACUGGGAUUAUCCAACAUGAACCUCAAAGGUACAUUAAGUGGUGACAUUGGAGUACUCGCUGAACUGAGAUCAUUGUGAGUUUGAGUUUCCUUUCUUCUUCUUCUUAGUAUUUAAUUGCCAGUGGAGUUCGGCACAGAAGUAGUAAGAUAUCAAGGGGCACUGUCCCAACGGAGAUGAUUGUGAAACCUGAAAUAUGAGUUGUCCUAUUAAGAAAAUGAGAUUAUAUAUUCAAUAAAUGUAAAUAUGAAUUGGUUCUAGGCAGGUGCAGUGAUAAUGGUUAGAUUUAUGUCUAGGUUUUGCAGUUGGUUCUGGUAGAACUGAUAUUUGUUGUUGCUGGGUCAGUUAGCUGAUACUAAAGAAGGUGAUUAUGGAACUGACAAUAUUGAAGUUAAGUUGGAAUUGCAGGUUAGGAUUGAAGGGAAUAUAUGAGGCUGUUGUACCUGACUCGCAGGUGUUUGUUCUGCGAAAUGAUACAGUGACUUGAGCUAGUGAAGGACUGAGAUUGUAAUGGUGCUGGUGCUGCAAUGGCUAGGUCAAGAAGAUGGAAGUGAAGAAUUGAGCUGAGAAAAAGUUAGUGUUGCAAGACAUAGCAGGUCUGCAGGUGUAGGGUUUGUAUGCUGCAAUUCAAAUAGUGGUUUAUGGGUCAGAUUGCGGUAAUGUGUUUGUGAUAGAAAAUUGCAGGUAGUAUUUGUGGUUAUAGGUAAAUAGAAGUUGAAGGAAGUUACAUUGCAGCUGUAGAGAAUGGGUGUGUGGUGUUGCUGAGUUGUUGUGUGACGCAGUAGUGGAUUUGGUGGUUUGCAAUGAAACUGGUUGUAAUGGAAUUUGCAAGGAUAUUCGAAUUUUUUUUACAUUAGGAAAGUAUUUUGUAUUCGUAUAGUUGAAUAAUCUGUUAUGCAGUUAUGGAAUUGGUUGCA